UGCUUAGGUUUCUAUCCACCAGAG
rnacentral:siRNA from 1 species